GCACUCAAAGAAGCCAGUCCUCUGCCCUGACUCACCCACAACCUCUGUGUGGCAGACGCUGCCAUGGACAUGCCCCACCCUCACACCAGCACAUUCCAUGCCGGGACACAUAUCUGUGCCUCUCUACCUGGAGGCUGUCCCGAGGCCUGUGCAUGCGGCAGGCAGAGGGGCUGGGGAGCUGGUGGCCCUAGCAGCAGCCUUUUGCUAGGACAGACGCUCUUGCUGUUUUUACCUGCUUGGACCCCACUCUGUCUUCAGCCCGGAGGAACCAUCCAGUCCACAGACGAGACCUGAGGCUCAGGAGCAAAGCAACUUGCCACGAUCGCAUCACAGUGGCCCUGGCGGCUGAUAGGCCACAUCCUGUACAAGCAGGGGACGCCCUUCCUUCAGGGCAGUCCUGCUCGUCGCCCAGGUCCUGCUCCGAGUCUACCAGCUCCGAGUCUACCCCAAAGCCUCAGCAUGCUGCCUUUUCCCUCUAACUCGGGAGAAAGUACGUUCAAGACAGCCCUGGACUCAGAGGCUCACGCCUGUAAUCCCAGCACUUUGGGAGGCCAAGGCAAAGAGGACCGACCACUGGAUCACUUGAGCCCAGAAGUUUGAGACCAGCCUGGGCAACACAGUGAGACCCCUGUCUCUAAAAAAAUUAGUUAAUUAAUUUUUUUAAAAGAGACUUUUCCUUAUCUUACUCAUUCUUUUGACAUCAUUUUAAAUGAGAAAUGCAGAAUAUGACAUUAUACAUACUGAUAUUUUAUUUUUUUACAUAAAAUUUCAUGUGUUAAAAAACUGCACUAAAAAAAAUCUAGAAUUAUGUUAAAAUUGAUGCUGGUUAUUUGUGAAUAGUAGGAUUUUUUUUAAUGUAUUCCAACACCUAUAUAUUCCAACUUUUCCACAUUUCCGAAGUCUCCUGGAAUACUUUGGUGAUGGGAAGGAAAGAUAUGUUUACGGUUUUUGGAACACUGGAAAACGUUUCCUGUGAUGCCCUAGAGGGUUGUGGCAUAGGAGCCAGCCUUGAAGUGGAAACCCUAGGCCAUCCACUCACAAUCUGAGUAUCCUUGAGUGAGUCAUCUCUCUAACCCCCACCGUGUUCCCCAUAAACUAGAAAUAAUUAUAGCUGCCCCCACCUGACAGUCUUACUGUAAGGAUUCAAUGUGAUGAUGUAAAACAUUGGUAUCGUGUGAGUAUUCAAUAAAUAUUCCUUGAGUGAAUUUAGUGUUUUAUAUGCUUAGGAUUGAUCAGUUUAAUGCAAGUGACAGAAACCAUUAGAAGUCUGCCUUCUCUGUCUAGUCAUACCACCCUAGAAGCGCUUGGUCUUGUCUGAUCUCAGGAGCUAAACAGGGUCAGGCCUGGUUAGCACCAGAAAGGGAGAAAUCUGCUUUCUAGCUCUUGGCUCUUCUAUUCUCUGUACUGACUCAAAUCUCAGGCAGGCCCUUUCAACACAGUAGCAAGAUGGCUCCCCAGCAGACUGCAGCUGGCAUCUCAGCUUCUCAGGGCCUUAGUAGGAAGACAGCUUCUCUUUCCCAAUAAUUCCAACAAAAUUCCUCCAUGCUAAUCCAAACACUAAGGCAAUGUAGCCUGACCGUCAGGCCUGGGAAGUCACUAGCACUCCCCCAGGAAAGGGGUCAGGACCUGCCCCGCCAAACCACAUGAUUACUUGUGGUGUUUUCUCAAAGGAAACUGGAGAUGUCCUCAAAGUGCACAUUAAUCAAAUUCAACACAAAGCCUGUGAUGAACACAAGGUCACACUGCCCUUGGGACUAAAAUGCCGAUGAUUAACUUCCAUACCUGUAGGAAGAGCCACAGGGCAGUGAAAGUCCAAAACACGGGUUCCACUCACAGCUGUGUCACUUCGUGACCUUGAAUAAGCACCGUGGCCUGUCUGGGUCUCAGUUUCUUCAUCUGUCCAAUCCGCGGUUGAACUAGAAUCCAGCCUCAAGUCCCUCUGGGGCUAUGCAGUUAGCAGAUGAGCGCAGUGUCCAGGUCAGCACAGCAGGAAGUGGUGGGGCCCGAGGGGAUCCAUGAGUGCAAGCCCCAUUUAGCAUUGUGCUGUGGGCCAUGUAUUACCAGGUCUUCUGAUUUUUCAAGGCAUUCUAUGAAAUCUCCUGGCUUUUCAAUUUAAUUUCAAUUAAAGCUAAUUUAAUUGUGGUGAUGGUUGCACAACCCUGAAUUGCACCAUUGACUUGUACGUUUCAGUAGCUGAAUUGUGUGGGAGGCGAAUUAUAUUUCAAUAAGACUGAUAAAAAGACCACAGAUUGCAUGAUUCCAUUUAGAAGGAAUAUCCAGAAAAGGCAAAAAGCAGAUUGGCAGUGGCUAGGAUCUGGGAGGAAAGGACAUGGGAAGUAAAUGCUUAAUGGGGACAGAGGUUUUUUCUGGGGUGAUAAAAAUGUGUUGGGAUUACAUGGUGGUGAUAGUCAUCAAACACCGUGAAAUUGAGAAAUGUCACUGAAUUGUAUGCUUUAAAGUGGUUAAUUUUAUGCACUGUGAGUUUUACCUCAAUUAAAAAAAAAAAGUUUGCUAAAUAUUCUGCUAUCCAAAUAAAACAUAUCUGUGGGCUGAAUUGGGCCCAGAUUUUAAUCCCAGUCAGUCACUAAGGUCCCCUUUUAACAUUCUCACAGCUCAUAUUUCCAAGGACCAAAAGUGUCACCUCCAGUCGGGGACAUGAUGACCAGCUGACCACAGCUGACAACAAAGAGGAAAGAGGCAUUCUGCUUCCUCUAACUAAGGCCUCCCCCAAAAUAAGCUCAGGCCAGAAAAUAAAAGCCUGCGUAAGCUGGAACCAGGCCAAGGUUUUUCUUCUUCUUUUUUUUUUUUUUCUAACUGCCCUUUGCCACCAUGAAGGGCAAAGAGUUGCAUCUGGGUGACAGCGAAUGGACUUUGUUGACACAGCCCAACCUCAUUUUUUGUGAAGUUAAUAAUUAGGCUG
ensembl:lncRNA